rnacentral:rRNA from 1 species
GACGAACGCUGGCGGCGUGCUUAACACAUGCAAGUCGAACGGAAAGGCCCUGCUUUUGUGGGGUGCUCGAGUGGCGAACGGGUGAGUAACACGUGAGUAACCUGCCCUUGACUUUGGUAUAACUUCAGGAAACUGGGGCUAAUACCGGAUAGGAGCUCCUGCUGCAUGGUGGGGGUUGGAAAGUUUCGGCGGUUGGGGAUGGACUCGCGGCUUAUCAGCUUGUUGGUGGGGUAGUGGCUUACCAAGGCUUUGACGGGUAGCCGGCCUGAGAGGGUGACCGGCCACAUUGGGACUGAGAUACGGCCCAGACUCCUACGGGAGGCAGCAGUGGGGAAUAGUGCACAAGGGGCGGAAGCCUGAUGCAGCAACGCCGCGUGCGGGAUGACGGCCUUCGGGUUGUAAACCGCUUUCGCCUGUGACGAAGCGUGAGUGACGGUAAUGGGUAAAGAAGCACCGGCUAACUACGUG